GACGAACGCUGGCGGCGUGCUUAACACAUGCAAGUCGAACGAUGAUGCCCAGCUUGCUGGGUGGAUUAGUGGCGAACGGGUGAGUAACACGUGAGUAACCUGCCCCUGACUCUGGGAUAAGCGUUGGAAACGACGUCUAAUACUGGAUAUGACUGCCGGCCGCAUGGUCUGGUGGUGGAAAGAUUUUUUGGUUGGGGAUGGACUCGCGGCCUAUCAGCUUGUUGGUGAGGUAAUGGCUCGCCAAGGCGACGACGGGUAGCCGGCCUGAGAGGGUGACCGGCCACACUGGGACUGAGACACGGCCCGGACUCCUACGGGAGGCAGCAGUGGGGAAUAUUGCACAAUGGGCGAAAGCCUGAUGCAGCAACGCCGCGUGAGGGAUGACGGCCUUCGGGUUGUAAACCUCUUUUAGUAGGGAAGAAGCGAAAGUGACGGUACCUGCAGAAAAAGCACCGGCUAACUACGUGCCAGCAGCCGCCGUAA
rnacentral:rRNA from 1 species